ensembl:rRNA 5S_rRNA 5S ribosomal RNA
UUCACCACAGCUAUGGCACCCUGACGCCCAAGACCGAUUACUCCCUGAAGCUAAGCAGGGCUGAGCCUGGUCAGUACCUGGAUUGGAGAUCGCAUGGGAAAACUAGGUCGCUGCUGAAA